CCCACAAGUUGGCAGUCACCUUAAGCUCUUUUGUGCACACACAGAUGUGCUUCAUGCAACUGGGUGAGGAACAUCUCUAAAACAUUUUAAUUGCCUGAACCCACGAGGCAGAGGUUGCAGUGAGCUGAGAUCAUGUCACUGCACUCCAGUCUGGGGGACAGAGUGAGACUCUGUCCCAAUAAUAAAUAAAUAAAUAAAUAAACAAAUAUCAUUCAAAUCCAGGAUCGUUGUUAUGGGGUUGUUGUUGGAUUUCAACUUUCUGUUGGAUUUUGGUGAUUUUUUUUGCCACUUAUAUCUUGAAUACUAUACCUGUCAUUUCAGACGUUCCAUUCUGGUUAGGACUCAUUGCUAGAUUGCUGGUGUAAUCCUUUGGAGGUGAUGGAACAUUCUGGCUUUUUGUAUUGCCAGAGUUCUUGUGCUGGUUUCUUCUCAUCUGAGAGACUUGAUGCUUCUUUUGUUGAAUUUGCUAUCAUUUGGAAGGAGUUUUUUUUUUUUAAUUUUUCAUUCUUUCUUUAUCUUAAGGGUAUGACUGUGGUGUAUGUUGUAUAGGAUCAAUUUGCUUCAUUUCUGGGUACUUUCAGAGGACCAAGGCUCUGUACAAGUUCCUUGGUUGCAGAUAGGCUUCUGUGGUGGCUUGGUGUGGUGAUGUAUUUUUGUUUGGUGGCGUAAUUCAGGCUUCAGUCCAGUAGACAGUGCUUAAGAGUGACAGCUGGCUGCAGGGUCUUCUCCUCUGUGUACUUGUCCUCGACAGGUGCAGAAGUGACAAAGUGCCAAAAGCGCCCUGUCCCAGUGUGUACUAGUCUUCAG
rnacentral:lncRNA from 1 species